UUUUAUUAUUAAUUUAGAUUUAUUAAUCUUUAAAUAAUUUAUUAAUAUACCGUAUUGAAUAUUUAUUUAUGGGUAAUUAUGAUUAAAUUAGUAUAAUUUUUUGUAAGGUUAUUUAAACUUUUAAGAUAAAAUUAAGGAAUUCGGCAAAUUUGUUUUCUGCCUGUUUAUUAAAAACAUGUCUUUUAGUAAUUAUUUGAAGUCGGGCCUGCCCUAUGAUUAUUUAAAUGGCCGCGGUAUUUUGACCGUGCAAAGGUAGCAUAAUAAUUAGUUUCUUAAUUAGGAGCUGGUAUGAAUGGUUUGACAAGAAAACUUCUGUCUCUAUUUUAUUAUUAGAAUUUAACUUUUGAGUCAAAAGGCUUAAAUGUUUUUAAAAGACGAGAAGACCCUAUAGAAUUUUAUAUUUAACUUAAUUAAAAUUUUAUAGAUUAUUUAUUUUUAAUUAAGUUAAAUAUUUUGUUGGGGUGAUGGAAAAACUUAAAUAACUUUUUCUAUUUAAAUUCAUUAAUUUAUGA
rnacentral:rRNA from 1 species